GUCUAUGGCCAUACCACCCUGAACAUGCCUGAUCUCCUCUGAUCUCAGAAGCUAAGUGGGGCCCAGCCUGGUUAGUACUUGGGUGCAGAUCACCUAGGAAUUGCAGCUGCCGCUGACU
ensembl:rRNA 5S_rRNA 5S ribosomal RNA